CCUACGGGAGGCUGCAGUGAGGAAUAUUGGUCAAUGGGCGAGAGCCUGAACCAGCCAAGUCGCGUGAAGGAUGAAGGAUCUAUGGUUUGUAAACUUCUUUUAUAUGGGAAUAAAGUGAGGAACGUGUGCCUUUUUGUAUGUACCAUAUGAAUAAGCAUCGGCUAACGCCGUGCCAGCAGCCGCGGUAAUACGGAGGAUGCGAGCGUUAUCCGGAUUUAUUGGGUUUCAAGGGUGCGUAGGUGGUUAAUUAAGUCAGCGGUGAAAGUUUGUGGCUCAACCAUACAAUUGCCGUUGAAACUGGUUGCCUUGAGUAUAUUUGCGGUAGUCGGAAUGCGUGGUGUAGCG
rnacentral:rRNA from 1 species